rnacentral:rRNA from 1 species
CACGUAGGGUGCGAGCGUUGUCCGGAAUUAUUGGGCGUAAAGAGCUCGUAGGCGGUGUGUCGCGUCGGCCGUGAAAACCUGCAGCUUAACUGUGGGCUUGCGGUCGAUACGGGCAUCACUGGAGUUCGGCAGGGGAGACUGGAAUUCCUGGUGUAGCGGUGAAAUGCGCAGAUAUCGGGAGGAACACCAGUGGCGAAGGCGGCACUCUGGGCCGGUACUGACGCUGAGGCGCGAAAGCGUGGGGAGCAAACA